UGUGUUUGUAAUACGUAUCAUUCCAUUGUUGUGUCUAUCAUGUGCAUAGUAUGCCAGUCUAGAUCUAGACGUACAAGUAAACGUAGUACACGCCCCGCUAAUUAAGUCCCCGACUUUCGCCGUGCAAUGGGUAUAUUUUUAGUCUUGGCCAGCUCUUUAAAACAAACUCGUUAGGAUUAUGAAUCCAUUUACCGUCCUCUAAUCCCAAAACUAAUACUACUACUACUGCCAAGCGAAUUCGCAACUCAUUGAACGUCGAACCAUUAAUGUGUGCAAUCGACCACAGCCAAAUUUGAUCUCAAUUUGGUUGAAUUGGACUUCCGAGCUUGAAGAAUUUUACUCUCAAAAAUUCUACAAGCCCAAGUCCCGAGAAACAGAAACACAAGCAACCCACUAACUAUCAUUCAUCGUGAAUUCCUAAUAAUCCCAAAUCAACAGACUUUUGUACACCUUACGAAGCGUGGCAGAGUUUCGCACACCUAACACCAAGCCCCAGCCCCAGCCCCAGCCCCAGCACAAGUCGACGCAUAUUUUGAGUUUUAUGUCAUCGAGGAGGUUCCUCUCCUGAGCUAAUGCGCUAAAAUUGACUAUACAAGUUGAGUUAAAACUCUGAUUGUUUUUUGUGUUCUUGAUGC